GAUGAACGCUGGCGGCGUGCCUAAUACAUGCAAGUCGAGCGAAUGGAUUAAGAGCUUGCUCUUAUGAAGUUAGCGGCGGACGGGUGAGUAACACGUGGGUAACCUGCCCAUAAGACUGGGAUAACUCCGGGAAACCGGGGCUAAUACCGGAUAACAUUUUGAACCGCAUGGUUCGAAAUUGAAAGGCGGCUUCGGCUGUCACUUAUGGAUGGACCCGCGUCGCAUUAGCUAGUUGGUGAGGUAACGGCUCACCAAGGCAACGAUGCGUAGCCGACCUGAGAGGGUGAUCGGACACACUGGGACUGACACACGGCCCAGACUACUACGGGAGGCAGCAGGAGGGAAUCUUCCGCAAUGGACGAAAGUCUGACGGAGCAAGGGCGCGUGAGGGAUGAAGGCUUUCGGGUCGUAAAACUCUGUUGUUAGGGAAGAACAAGUGCUAGUUGAAUAAGCUGGCACCUUGACGGUACCUAACCAGAAAGCCACGGCUAACUACGUGCCAGCCGCCGCGGUAA
rnacentral:rRNA from 1 species